UACAGAGGUGCCGAGCGUUAGGCGGAAUCACUGGGCUUAAAGCGUGUGUAGGCGGAUUGGUAAGUACCUUGUGAAAUCCCACGGCUUAACCGUGGAACUGCUUGGUAUACUGCUUAUCUUGGGCCACUUAGGGGCUACCGGAACAAACGGUGGAGCGGUGAAAUGCGUAGAUAUCGUUUGGAACGCCAAUGGUGAAAACAGGUAGCUGGGAGUGUGCCGACGCUGAGACACGAAAGCCAGGGGAGCGAACGGG
rnacentral:rRNA from 1 species